AUUGAACGCUGGCGGCAUGCCUUACACAUGCAAGUCGAACGGCAGCACGGGAGCAACCCUGGUGGCGAGUGGCGAACGGGUGAGUAAAGUAUCGGAACGUGCCCAGUCGUGGGGGAUAACGUAGCGAAAGUUACGCUAAUACCGCAUACGAUCUAUGGAUGAAAGCGGGGGAUCGCAAGGCCUCGCGCGAUUGGAGCGGCCGAUAUCAGAUUAGGUAGUUGGUGGGGUAAAGGCUCACCAAGCCGACGAUCUGUAGCUGGUCUGAGAGGACGGCCAGCCACACGGGGACUGAGACACGGCCCAGACUCCUACGGGAGGCAGCAGUGGGGAAUUUUGGACGAUGGGCGAAAGCCUGAUCCAGCCAUGCCACGUGCAGGAUGAAGGCCUUCGGGUUGUAAACUGCUUUUGUACGGAACGAAAAGGUUUGGCCUAAUAAGCUGAGCUCAUGACGGUACCGUAAGAAUAAGCACCGGCUAACUACGUGCCAGCAGCCGCAGUAA
rnacentral:rRNA from 1 species